CCAUAUAUAAGAAAACAGGCCUAACAUCCAUAUUCAAUGAUGAAAAGCUGGAAGGUUUUCAUACAAUCAGGAACAAGACAAGGAUUCUCACUCUCUCCACU